AGAGAGAGAUAUAUAGAUAUAUAUAUACACAUAGGGAAAGACAGCGAGAGGCUGUGUCCAGUGCAGAGUUUACAAUAUGUCAAUAUUAUUUAAAUAUUCAAAAUUUUAAGUAGGUAGAAAAAAUGUACAAAAUGGAAAAGAGAAAUGAUUAAACCUCUUUUUUUACAACAAAGGAGCUGUGUCCUUCACACAUGGAUGCCGAGACAAUAAGCUAGCAUGCACAAGACCCUGAAACAACAGCAGUUUGUUUCAGUAGUUUCAGUUGUUGCAGUAAUUAUCUUAAAUCUGGAUCAAAUGCUGCUUUUCCUGAUGCAAGUCAACAUGUUGUGACUGGCUUUUUCUGCUUUAUACACUUAUUCAUUGAUAAAUAAAUGUCCAUGUUUAUUAUUAUUAUUAUUAUUAAUGUUUUAUUGUUGAUUUGUUUGUUUGUUUUUUGUGUAUAAUGGGGUUGGCAGGCCUGCAUGGAUUCAUGAGUGACAUUGCCUGAAUUUACAAGUGCUACAGUUGUCAUGUAGAGGAUUGUUAGAUUAUUUAAAGCACUGGAUCUGACUUCGAAGCUUACAUUUAACCCACCAAGACUCAGUAUUUUGGCUUUUUGUCUACUGGUCUCACCAUCUAUCCAUAUGACACAUCCAUCCUGGUUUGGCUAAUGUUUGGAUUUCAUAUCUGAGAUCUGACCCCACAUAAUUAAAAAAGCCAGAACUGGAUUAAGAUUAGGAGGAAGAGGUGAGGGAUAAAUGAAAGUAAUAUUGCUGAAUACUUAAACAAAAUUGAUUUAAAACAGAAAUCACAAACAACCAAAAGCGACAAACGUGUUGCACGAGCAGUCACAUAAGCCAUUUGAUACGAUACUGAUAAGGAGAAAAAAGAUGCCCAUAGUGAAGACUUCUUGAGUUUGUAUGUAUCUACCAUUUAUCACUGUCCACCAAACAAGUGAAAGGAUAUUUCAUCGGGGAAAAAAGGCAUGUUCAGUGUAUUUUAGGGCCAUUGAUGCAUGUCAAACACUACAUUUACAUAACAAAAUUAAAUUACUUAUUUUUUAAAGACACAACGAUCCCAGUCAGCUAAAGCAUGUCAAAACUUUCUCUAUAUUAAGCCACCAGGUUGUGCCAUUUUUCAGGAAUUAUUAUAAUUAGAUAUCUUAAUUUGUUACAUGCAUAUGGUAUGCAUAUUGCUUGCUUUUUAAAUUCAUGGACUGUGAAGGGUAUGUGGGUUCACUUUGGAAACUCUGUCUUCCCCCCUAUAAAAUUCAAGAUAUAGGGCUCUAUUUUGGUGCCUCGCCGAAGACGUGCCACAAGCGCAGCGUCAAUCAGAUCCGCCGCGCUGACAAGGCGUUCCCAAGCACAUUUUGGUAUUUUGGUGAGCCGCGCAGCCCGGUGUAAGUAUCCCCCCUCCCUAACUCAGCUCCUCCCGGCAGCAUAAGUCAUAGACAGGGAGGAGAGAGGGCGUGGAGUCGGUUUAACACAGCCGAGACCUGUUUUCACCAAUCACAUAAGCUCCUCUCCUUGCCUUUAAAUCCGCCACCGGCGAGGCGUAAUACUAUUUUCAUGAAGUAGUCAAAGAGAUCGAGAGAUGUCUGAAGACAGUUAUGCCACACGAUGGCGACAGAGGGCAGCUGCUCAACAAGUGUCCUCCACACUCUCUCAUCUGAGCGCAGAUGGAUUUGGUGUGCGUAAUGUUGGACCCACUGGUAAGACAAACACCCUUUUCCACAAAUAAAGACACUCACAUAAAGUUGCAUAUAUUCAAACCUCACGUGACAAAGGUGGGUUUAGCGCACAGAUCACAACAUAAACUCCAAAAAUGGCAUUAAAAUCGGAACCAUCUGUGCGUAAAUGACGCAUCUCGCUCCGUGGCCUGGCUCUUUCUUUCAUAGAUGUUGGCAUAUAAAAUAAAUUUGGCCCACAAAACUGAAUAUUAUAAUAUCCGUAUGUCGGCUUAAAGUAGAUAACGCAUCUGAGCACUGAAACAAAUCAUCUGUUCAGCCGCAGCAGCUGCAGCAAGACGGACAGAGGACACGGAGACGUGUCCAGGUCGAGCUGUGCGAGAAAUAAGAGGAAGAAAGAAAAGGAGGGAGACACAUUACAUAUCUUGUUAACUUCAUCAUGUGUGUUUAUUUACUAGAUAUUUAAUUUAAUUUGAUGCAGUUUCAGCUGUAUUGAUUCGGUCAGGUUGUGUGCCCAAACGCGUGCCAAACGCGUGCCAAACGCGCUCAUCAGAUCAGAUAUAGAUCAGAAUAUAUCGAUAUAGAUCUAAAUGUAUGUGCUGACUCAGAUUAAUAGUUGAUGAUUAUUUAUUGCACUGAAAUCUGCCUGACACUGUGGAAACCUGCCGGUGAGGCAUCGGUGACGUAUGUCGAUACGCCGCCGGUCUACCAAAAUACUACUAGACCAGCUGCGUUCCGCCUUGCGCUGAAAGCUGACCAGGUUUGAAUCGGCGAGCUUUCAGCGCACGUUACACGCCGGUGGCGAGCACGAAAAUGUCACUGCGCCAGCUGAUUCUGUCGACACCUCCCCCUGCCACGCCACCACGCCCAGCUUGGCGGAUCUCGGCUCGCCUCCGUGCGACUCAGUCCACGAAAAUACCAAACUCGCCUUACACCGGGCUCCGCCAGACGAAAAUACAACUGCGCGGGGCUCGCCGCCCUCCGCCGCCUCACCGGCGCGAACGAAAAUAGAGCCCAUAGUCUUUCAAUAUUUUGUUUCAUGAGCACCUUCAGUACACUCUUAAGUCAUUUUACUCUGACUCUAACAGUGCUAUAUAAAGAUUAUGGAUACAAUGAAGCAGUGCAGUUCAAUGCAAACUUUUUUCAGAGUGUAUUUUAAAACUAACACUAAUACAAACAAGAAAGUAACUUUAAAGUCGCACCAUAGCUCAAUCUCCAAAGUUAUGCCUUUACCUCAGCAGUUGUGUUUCAAACUGUACAUACUGUUUUGCACAUUCACGCAUUUAUAACAGUUGUGGUACGAUCGUAGUGGAAAGCAUGUAAGCAUAAUGGAACUGUGAAAAGCAUAAAGCUCACUUUAUUCAAAUGGUUUGUUGGAAUGUCAUAAUAAGAGACAUGGCAUGGUGAUUGUAUGAUUAAAUGGAAAAUGUAUCUAUGGUGCAUUUAUUGAAUAUUUUCAAAGCACCCUUAAUGUAAGGAUUUUUAACGAUCAAAUAACUUUGUCAGAUACCCGAUCACUGUUUAAAUGUCAUUUCAGCAUGUGAGCAUUGUCAAUGUCUGAAUGUUUUAUUCUUCUAUAUUUUUAACCGAGGUUGUAACGGUCUAGCUCUGUCAAAAACUGGUGUCUAAGGUUCCUAAAAUGCAUAAGGCUGGUACGCUGUGAUAUUCAGCUGCUAGAGCGUGCUCAGUGCUUCCAAAUCUGGUAGCUGUGAGAAUCCUGGUUUCUGAGGUUGCUAAACAAACCAAACUGUAAACAGGUCUGUGUUUACAUAAAUACUUACUUUUCUAUCAUUGUUGGUUAGUUACUGAGUGAUUUUACUGACUAUCUAAAGCACAUCUUUGACAUCACAAUAUUAUAACACAAUUGUAUGUUUCUCUGUGAUUACCAAUACACUGUUUAGUCAGUCAUGGUGUUGAGAACUAUAAGAUGGUGGUUAUAUUAUAAAUAAAAAAAAGAGCCAGAUUGCCGAGAUAUUUUGAAAUUUAUGUCACAAUACUAGUUGUGUGUGUGAGAUCAUAUAUGUUGAAGAUGAAGGGGUCGGGUGUGUACCCAAGGUGACGACAAAAGUCAACAUCUGGGCUGAAAUUAAAUGCAGUUUCCCCCAUAAACAGUUUUGUUGGCAAAGUAAAGUUACACACAUUCCAAUAUAUUUAAUAUCUCAGUCGGAAACAAACACAGCUGUGUUGAUGCUAAAUCAUAAAGCUGACAUUAUCAUUAUACAUCCUCCACCUCUGGCUGGUUUGCCCUGAAUAGUUGCUUUUGUUUCACUCUAAAUGUUAGUGAACACCAAACUAAUGCUUGCACUGUGCUGCCUCUGAACAAGCAGCUGUCAUCACAUUAUGUAUUUUGAAUAAAGAUGAUUUAGGAAAAUGUCACA
rnacentral:lncRNA from 1 species